rnacentral:lncRNA from 1 species
UUAAUUAAACAUUCAUUCUUCCUUUUCAUUGCCAUUUUUCCCUUUUCUUCUUUCUUUUUUUUUUGUCUCUUUUUUUGUUCUUUUCCCUUCUUUUCUUCAUCCAAUUGUUGCUUGGUUUGCAUGUUUUGUCUGCUACUGUUGUCGGGUAACUACGCAUGUCCUUACUGCCAAUUACAUCAAUUGCGUGAAUUUCGUUAAUCGUAGAACUUCUGUUAUAUGGUAGUUCGUUCGUUUAUGUCGGAGUUGUUUCCAACUCGAUUUGUUUAAAUAUUCUUUUAAG